GGGAACCUCCCAUGUGCAGCUUCAGCCAAUCAUAGAAGCCCCAGUGCACGCGUCUUCAUCUCCUCGGCAGGGAAGCAUCUGACAGCCAGCUCAGUGUUUAUAAGAGCAAGAACAAUGUCCCAAUGUCCCGAGAAGAAGCAGAGGGGGAGGGGAGAUCCCUGCUUUCCCCUGCACUGAUCACAAUCUGACAGCAGUUUCCCGAUUUAUCGUUCUAGGCAGCAAUUGUUACAAUCCAAUAAAGAUAGCCAAGAUGUGGGAAGAUCGUUGUGUGAUGCUACAUCUGAGCAACCAGCAUUACAAAACAAGUGUUGUCUCAGGUUUUCACCAGGUUGCAGUGCGGCACGAGACAUUACAUCACUAGCCAGGUGUUCAGAGUGAGCCUGUCUUUGCUUCAAUUGAGGGAGUGACCGCUGGGUGGGAGACCAUUUUGCAUGAAUUUGCAACAGCUGGAGGCACCCUGGUCAAAAAACACUGGUCUUUUGCA